CGCACGGGUGAGUAACACGUGAGUGACCUGCCUUUUAGACUGGAACAACUUACCGAAAGGUGAGCUAAUGCCGGAUGAGUUAUAUAAGUGCAUGUUUAUAUAGGAAAAGUUGGGGAGACCUGACGCUGAAAGAUGGACUCGCGUCCCAUUAGCUAGUUGGUAGGGUAAUGGCCUACCAAGGCGACGAUGGGUAGCCGGCCUGAGAGGGUGGCCGGCCACACUGGGACUGAGACACGGCCCAGACUCCUACGGGAGGCAGCAG
rnacentral:rRNA from 1 species